rnacentral:rRNA from 1 species
UACGUAGGGUGCGAGCGUUAAUCGGAAUUACUGGGCGUAAAGCGUGCGCAGGCGGUUUGUUAAGACAGGUGUGAAAUCCCCGGGCUCAACCUGGGAAUGGCGCUUGUAACUGGCAGGCUAGAGUGUGUCAGAGGGAGGUAGAAUUCCACGUGUAGCAGUGAAAUGCGUAGAGAUGUGGAGGAAUACCGAUGGCGAAGGCAGCCUCCUGGGAUAACACUGACGCUCAGGCACGAAAGCGUGGGGAGCAAACAGG